rnacentral:lncRNA from 1 species
CAUCGUUUCAAUACUAAGGAGGACUUGUAGUGCAGUCUAGAGCGGAUUUCUGUUCAGCGGCACCAUUCAACAGGCUGGUUGGGCUUGUCUGGCAUAGGGUAACUUACCGGUACCUCCAGGACAAAAAUAUAUUUCUUGCCUCUUCGAUCUAUACGGACAGUGCCGCCUUUACAUGCUAGUACCAUCCUGGGCCCCUUGUAUAAUACAAAGGUGUCACUGUCAGGCUUGAAUGUAGUGGUCCAUAAUCAGUAGUUGGGCCUUUCCAGGACUCGUUCCAUUGAUACAUCCUCAGCACAAGAUUCAGACAGCUAUGACUUCCACACCGAUCGACGGACUUCAGUGAUCUUGCCCAUGGUACCCUCUGCUUCUAGUCAAUAGGGGCAGCGGAUGGAUUGACUACCUAAUACGGAAUCAACAUUGAAGUCGGCUGUUCGGAAAAAACGUAAAGUUGCAUUAAAUGCACUCGCCGUAGCAUGAAGGACUUCAAAGUGCUUCAUGUCUAGGACAUUUCCUUUUUAAAAAUUAACAUCUAAGAUAAUCCAGUCACUGUCAAAUAGACUACCAGUGUACCCAGUCGUAUCGUAUCGGUAGAUGAAAAGUCG